UGAUCGAAUAUGAUGCGGGCUGGAUCUCUCGGGGUUACAGCCUUGCUGAAUUAUUCACCCUUGUCUUUUGCGUACUUCUUGUUUCCUUGGUGGGUUCGCCCACCACUAGGACAAACAUAAACCUUUUGUAAUUGCAAUCAGCGUCAGUAACAAAUUAAUAAUUACAACUUUCAACAACGGAUCUCUUGGUUCUGGCAUCGAUGAAGAACGCAGCGAAAUGCGAUAAGUAGUGUGAAUUGCAGAAUUCAGUGAAUCAUCGAAUCUUUGAACGCACAUUGCGCCCUUUGGUAUUCCAAAGGGCAUGCCUGUUCGAGCGUCAUUUGUACCCUCAAGCUUUGCUUGGUGUUGGGCGUCUUGUCUCUAGCUUUGCUGGAGACUCGCCUUAAAGUAAUUGGCAGCCGGCCUACUGGUUUCGGAGCGCAGCACAAGUCGCACUCUCUAUCAGCAAAGGUCUAGCAUCCAUUAAGCCUUUUUUCAACUUUUGACCUCGGAUCAGGUAGGGAUACCCGCUGAACUUAAGCAUAUCAAGGCCGGAAGGAAGUCGCGACGCGCUGAGUGGCACUUACGAGAAAUUCUCGCUGCUAAUGUUCAUCUACGGAGGUUUUGGUUGUCCAAGUGGUGGGCGAACCCACCAAGGGAAACAAGAAGUCGCAAAGACAAGGGGUGAAUAUUCAGCAAGGCUGGUAACCCGAGAGAUUCAGCCGCCUUAUAUUUGGUGUAUGAUCCCUCGCAGGUUCAUCUACGGAAUUUC
rnacentral:rRNA from 1 species